rnacentral:rRNA from 1 species
GAUGAACGCUGGCGGCGUGCCUAAUACAUGCAAGUCGAGCGAACAGAUGAGAAGCUUGCUUCUCUGAUGUUAGCGGCGGACGGGUGAGUAACACGUGGGUAACCUACCUAUAAGACUGGGAUAACUCCGGGAAACGAUAGCUAAUACUGGAUGUGGAGUAGAGAAGGCAUCUUCUUUACUUUAAAGGAGCUUUCGGGCUUCACUUAGAGAUGGACCUGCGUUGCAUUAGCUAGUUGGAGAGGUAAGAGCUCCCCAAGGCGACGAUGCAUAGCCGACCUGAGAGGGUGAUCGGCCACACUGGAACUGAGAUACGGUCCAGACUCCUACGGGAGGCAGCAGUAGGGAAUUUUCCACAAUGGACGGAAGUCUGAUGGAGCAACGCCGCGUGUGCGAAGAAGGUUUUCGGAUUGUAAAGCACUGUUGUAAGGGAAGAAUAAAAUAUAGAGGAAAUGCUAUAGAGAUGACGGUACCUUACCAGAAAGCCACGGCUAACUACGUGCCAGCCGCCGCGGUAA